rnacentral:rRNA from 1 species
AUGUUCUUUGAUGGUUCCAAGAUGCUGAAUGGUUCCGGUGCUGGGGUGGUACUGGUAUCCCCCCGAGGAGACAAGCUCAGAUAUGUUCUCCAGAUUCACUUUGAUUCCUCCAAUAAUGAAGCAGAAUAUGAAGCACUCUUGUAUGGGUUGCGUAUGGCCAUCUCACUUGGCGUCCGUCGCCUCAUGGUCUAUGGCAACUCAGAUUUGGUAGUCAAUCAAGUGAUGAAGGAGUGGGACGUCAGAAGCCCAACCAUGACUGGUUACUGCAACGCGGUGAGGAAGUUGGGAAAGAAGUUUGAGGGGUUAGAGCUCCAUCAUAUACCCCGACUGAAAAAUCAAGCAGCAGAUGAUUUAGCAAAGAUAGGCUCCAAGAGAGAAGCUAUUCCCAGUAAUGUGUUCCUGGAGCAUAUUCAUGCACCUUCAGUUCAAGAAGAUCCCUUCACUGAAGAGCCCCCGCAGCCUAAGAGUGCCACAGAUCCGACUGAAGUCGAGGUCCCAGCCGUGGUCGACUUGAUCAUGGAGGUGUUGGUCAUCAGUCCCGACUGGACGGUGCCAUACAUUUCAUAUAUCCUUAGGAAAGAGCUCCCAGAGGAUGAAGAAGAGGCUCGACAGAUCGUCCGUCGAUCCAAGGCCUUUACUGUAAUAAGAGGACAACUGUUCAGAGAAAGUGCAACUGGAGUCAGCCAGAAAUGCAUAACGCCAGAAGAAGGUCGAGUGAUCCUCCACGACAUCCAUUCAGGGACAUGUGGUCACCAUGCGUCCUCUCGGACCAUUGUGGCUAAAGCAUACCGAGCUGGAUUUUAUUGGCCACAAGCAAAUGAAAUGGCGAAAGAUAUAGUCGAUAGAUGUGAAGGCUGCCAGUUCUACUCCAAUAUGUCACACAAACCUGCAUCAACCCUGAAGACCAUUCCACUCGUCUGGCCCUUUGUUGUUUGGGGAUUGGACAUGGUUGGUCCACUGAAGACUGGUAGGAGUGGCUUCACUCACAUGCUUGUAGCAGUCGACAAGUUUACCAAAUGA